GAAUCUAGCCAUUGGUAUUGGCAUUCAAAACUUCCCGAGGGCUUAGCAGUAAGUCUUCCCUUGCAUGCCGCCGGCGUGUCAACAUGGAAAAGUUUUUUGGUGGGGACAGUUGAGUGGAAUGGUGGAACCCUUCUUCGGCCUGUUAGGUGUAAUAGCCGUCGCUCUUGUGGAGCCCUUAUUACCGUAUGCCUUAUCCUUCGCCGCAGGUGCGAUGAUAUACGUUGUCGUCGAUGAUAUCAUACCGGAGGCCAAUUCCAGUUUCAAGAAACUGUCGCGCUACAAAUUGUUUGGAGAAAGCGUUUUCACUAGAAAGCCUGCCUGUGGAACGCCGUUUGUACGAAAACCGACCUUAUGGGGAUAAGAUUCCAUAGCCUGCCCUCCUCCUCCCCAAAAAACAUGGAACUCCAUUCACCAGUGUUGACAGGGCUAUUCACAAAAAAUGUGCCAAACGCGAGUAAACGCGUCUUAUGUACCCCUCUUCCUCCGGCACGUUCACCUGAUGGUUUCUAUGGAUGUUUCAAAAAGAAUGAGAUGGGGCGGCAAAUACAGGCGACCCAUGGGCAGCAAGAAGGUGAAUCCGGCCCUGGUCUUAUCUGGGUUACUUCCAUUCAAACUUUUUGGUGCAAUUCGGCCAGGAAGAGAGAUAGGAGGUAUACAACGGAGUUGUUCAGUGUAAGUAACGAAUGGACCCCUGGUACAGAUGGGUUGUAUAUUCUCAUAUUCCCGUGUUCCCGUUUUGUUAAUUCGAUGCCGAUUUCAGAGCGCCUGCAUUAGCCAGUUGAUCAAUGUGUUGGUUCGAUGCGAUGGAUUGAUCGGAAAGCAGGUCCGGGUAUAAGAAGUACCUGGAACUUGUUUCGGUGAUUUAUCAACCUCCAACCCUUGUGCCGAUCCCAUCCAUUAUUCCAGAUCCAUACCAACUCAAAACGAACAUCAUAGUUGAUAUUUUGGAUAUGAAUCUACGAAUUUAAAUUUCACAGUAGAGAACUUGAUUGACUAUGAAGUAAGG
rnacentral:lncRNA from 1 species